GGAGGAUUGUGGCAAGUUUGAGACCAGCCUGGGCUAGAAAUAUUUCUGAAUGCAGGAUGUGUUUUACAAGCAAUGUCAUCUUAGUUUCUGUGAAAUACAAAAGGCUUAGGAACUAGCAGUUUGUGCCACCUCCUAUCCACCAUGAUCUGCUGCCUUCCUAGAGGCCCAAAGCAAAGGCCCAAAGUCUUGGACUGGACCCCUCCAUAACUAUGAACCAAAAUAAAAUAAAAUUAGUGAAUUACUUUAUCUCAGGUGUUUUAUUAUACUACCAGAACACUAACAUGACCACCACAAUACGUUUCCUAAAAUAUUGUGCAAUGACAGUGGAACAUUUUUUCAUAACUCCAGUGAUUUCAGUUCAUCGCCCUACAAAGUUCAUCAUGAAAACAUACAGGAUUUUUUUCUUCCCAGAAGAUUAUGAAACAUCACCACAAAUGUUGUUCAUCAAAAAAUCUUAGAUCACUGAAUGUAGUAGCUUUAACACUCUGGAGGAGGAGAACUCUAACAAUGUGUACCCUCUAUUUAUCAAGAAUAGAGACCUUGGCAUUGUAUAUAAUUUCUUUGAGCUUACAAUAAUAUUCAAGAAGAAAAGCAGUGUAUUUCACUCACCUGCUCUGCAGAGAUGUUGCCUUUAAUAAAACCGUUACUUUAAAAAUGGAUUUUAUAGCAGGCAUGGUGGUACACACCUCUGAUCCCAGCACUCUGGAAGGCUGAGGCAGGAGGAUUGAAAAUUCACAGCCUGGGCAGUUGAGCAACUUACAGAGAUCCUGAGAAUGCAGUUCAGUAUAUAAGAGGACUGGGGAUCUACCUCAGUAUGAAAGCCCUGAAUUCAGUCCUUAGCUCCACACACACAAAAAAGAAUUUAGAAAAAUAAAAAUAAACAAAUUUGAAGAAUAUGUAAUAUUCUCUGGCCCUCAUUUGCUAUUUCCUGGACGCGUCUUUCCAUUCCCAGAAAUCUGUCUUCUCACAACUGUUGCAUAACCUUUCUUGUGGUGGUGUUUGUUCCCUUUGCCUUAAAAUUUCCUUCCCCUCAUCUCCCCUGCUUGGAAAAGUCCAGCUUAUAAAUACCUCCUCUGCAUAGUCUUGGCUAUGAUGCUACAGCAGUCCCCCAGCGGUUUGCUCAUGACUCCUUUCUUGUGGCUCCUUUAUUGUGGCCGGUAGUUUAGCACAUGCUCUGCAAUCAGACCGACCUGGAGGAAAGUCCCAGCUCUGCUGAUUCUAGCUGUGUAACCACAGACAGAUUACUUCACCUGUCCGUAAGACCCAUUUUUCUCAGCUGUAAAAUGGGAGGUGUGGUGAUCAUCCAAACCCACAGACUGUUUUACAACUGUGCAUGCAAAGUACUUAACACGGUGCCUAGGUACAAGAUAAAAACCCAGUGAAUGGGAGCUCCUGUUGCUUAGACAUAUUUCUAAUCCUCAUUGUGCUGUUUGGAAUUAUUUUUUUCCUGUCUGGCUUUUCUGCUAGACUGUGAGCAAAACAAGGAUUGGGUCUUUGUUCUUGU